rnacentral:rRNA from 1 species
GACGAACGCUGGCGGCGUGCUUAACACAUGCAAGUCGAACGGUGAAAGCGGAGCUUGCUCCGCUGGAUCAGUGGCGAACGGGUGAGCAACACGUGGGCAACCUGCCCCUCACUUCGGGAUAACUCCGGGAAACCGGGGCUAAUACCGGAUAUGACCUCCUUGGGCAUCCUUGGAGGUGGAAAGUUUUUCGGUGAGGGAUGGGCCCGCGGCCUAUCAGCUUGUUGGUGAGGUAGUGGCUCACCAAGGCGACGACGGGUAGCAGGCCUGAGAGGGCGACCGGCCACACUGGGACUGAGACACGGCCCAGACUCCUACGGGAGGCAGCAGUGGGGAAUAUUGCGCAAUGGGCGAAAGCCUGACGCAGCAACGCCGCGUGGGGGAUGACGGCCUUCGGGUUGUAAACCGCUUUCAGCAGGGAAGAAGCCGCAAGGUGACGGUACCUGCAGAAGAAGCACCGGCUAACUACGUGCCAGCCGCCGCCGUAA